rnacentral:sRNA from 1 species
GCCGACGGCCGUCGGCACGGUCGA